rnacentral:rRNA from 1 species
CACGUAGGGCGCAAGCGUUGUCCGGAAUUAUUGGGCGUAAAGAGCUCGUAGGCGGUUCGACAAGUCGGAUGUGAAAUCUCCACGCUCAACGUGGAGGGGCCAUUCGAAACUGUCGUGACUUGAGUCCGGUAGGGGAGUGUGGAAUUCCCGGUGUAGCGGUGAAAUGCGCAGAGAUCGGGAGGAACACCCGUAGCGAAGGCGGCACUCUGGGCCGUGACUGACGCUGAGGAGCGAAAGCGUGGGGAGCAAACAGG